CUUCCGUCUCCAUGGGAACUUCGGUCGGCCAAACACUGGGCCCCAGCAACAGGCUUCUGAUUGGCCCGAUGCCUCUAAAGGCGGGGCUUCGUCUCCUUGCCCGGUCUGUGUGUUGCUGUUUUGGUGGUUGUCUCUGGCUUGUUUAUUUUUCUAACAGAUCUUGGAGGCUGAGGUCUAGAUCCGUCGCCAAGGAUGAAAUCUAGGAGAAACGUGCUCAACGUGCAGCUUGCUCCUGCUGAUUACAGUUCAACAGAUGACAUAAUUUCACUGUGUCCAAGUCUAUUGCGGGAGUCGCGAGUUUCGUGCCUGGCUUUGUCACAGCCCAAUAUUUGGAAUACAGAGUGUCAUGGUCUCCGAAAGCCAAUAUACUUGGGUUACACCAAGAAAGGAGCGAUGAAGCGAUAUUUAUACUGUGCGCUGAAGCGGGCUGAACAGCUGGAAGAGGUGACUGAGAGCAUUUUCCCACUGUGGAUGAGGAAAAGGGAAGGAAGGCGGACAGUGACAGGCUCUGGAAGCACCGAGAUUUGACUCUAACCAGCAAGAUUUAUGACCCUACCUCCAGGCCACUGAUUAUAAACUCUAGGGUUCUAUGUUUCAGUUCUUGUCUUUUUGUCAAACCCAAACAAAGCUGGGCACGGUGGCGCAGGCCUGUGAUCACAGCAUUUGGGAGGCUGAGGCAGGAGGACUGCUGUGAGUUUGAGGCCAGCCUGGGCUACAUAAUUGAGUUCAAGGCCAGCCUACACUACCUAACGAGAAGUCUCAAAAAGAAAAAAAAAAAAAAUCUUACCCUAUGGUGUGCGACUCAGAAAAUUUCCAGGAAACACCAAAUGGAUUGUAGUUUAAUGGCAUCAUAAAGAGCCGUUUUUUCUGUGUGCUCUCCCCCUCUCUCCUGUGUUUUGGCCCAGCUGCUUUGUUUUGCUGACCAAAUUCAACAUAAGGACAGGGAUGUCCUUCUGUGCUGUUGACUUCUUAAACCACAAGACGAUCUCUCAAGCCUAUUUCCCCCAUUGGUAAAAUGGGCUCUGGAGAAUUCAUUGACCCUGCAUCUGCUUUGACUCAAGAAGACUAUAAUUGUACUGUGAUUAUUAGGAAAUGCCACCUGCUGUAUAAAUAUUGGAUUCUUUUUGUUUUUUGAGACAGGGUCUUGAUACAUAGCUUAGGCUGGCCUUAAACUCAAGGAAAACCUCUUGCCUCAGCCUCCCGAGAGUGCUGAGAUUACAAGUGUGUGCCACCAUGCCUGGCAUAAAUGUUCAAUUCUUAUUAAUCUCUCCUGCCUGUACCUCUGCAUCUUAGUGCCAUAGCAAAGAGGCCUUGGCACAGGCCAGGAUGUGUACGAAGAGUGACUUACCCUAUCUUUCAAGCCCCCCGUGUACCCUGUACCUCUUCCACACCCCAGCCAUGAUGAAAGGAAAGGCAUGCUCCUCACAUCCGGCUUUCCUCAGGUGUAAAAGUGGUCACGUCACUUCCUGCCCUACUUCCCAGGGUUAGUGUGCCAGUCACGCGACGUGCACAACAUUUUCGGGAGGCUUUGAAUACCAUAAAGCAGAGGACUUUUUCAAAUUUAAAGAUUUUUUGCAAGAUGAGGAGACCUGAAAAUGCAGCAAAGUCAGAGUGGACUGGACAGGCGGGGUUCAAAGCUGGACUGGACGGACGCCCGCUUCUAGCUGAUGCGCCCCUCACUGUCCCUAAAACUGUCCCUAAAAUUCCACUUUCAGCAAUAGUUUCUUUCGAGGUAAGCAUCUGACAUUCCCUUCAGGUCUGCUUUAAAAUUAAAAGUCUUGAGUAGUGAAACCCUGCCUUUAAACAAAUAAAUAAGUAUUCUCUUGUGAUCAGGAAGCCCCUAAAGUUUCACGUAAAUUCGGUCAGCGGACACGUUCCCACCCCACCCCGGCGAGACGGCGCCACGCAGGCGCAGUGGGCUCUUACGCAGGCCUGAAAGGGUGCUGGAAGCCCAGAAGUUUUCAUCCUCAAGCCACCUUCGCAGUGUGCCUGCUGCUGAGCAAAGGUGCCCGAUCGCUCCACUCAGAAAUGACCAGGGGGAUCUUUUCUCACCGCGUUUACUCGCAGCCUCCCAAACAGCACUGCACAGUCA
ensembl:lincRNA